UAUUAAUUCAGUACAAGUUAUUAAACACGUUAAACUGUUUUAUUAAAAGUUUUAAUCAAAGUCGAGUACAAUUGAUUACUUGACCACGUGACUAAACAAAGCUCCGCCAUUGGCUGAGAGGAGAGCUGAGUGUGAAUUUUUCCAGAAAACGCUCAGUGGAGAAUGUUACUUUUGCUUAAAAACGUGAUAUUUAACAUUAAAUUUCAAUAGGAUAUUGUGAGUUUAGACAGUUACAACCUUAAGAAACUGGCUCAUCAGUGAGAGGAAUAAUAAUAUGCUAAUAACUCACUUUUCAGCAAAAGUGGAGAAUAUGCCUUUUGCAGUUUAGGCCCUUCCUUUCCAGUGUUGUUUACAAGAUCUCUGUAAUGGUCUUGUUGAUUACAUAAAACAACUAAUUUUUAUUUAAACAAUGUCUAUUUUAAAUCACUGGUCUAUACUGAUCAUCGAAAGACCUUGACCCAAAUAUAAAACAAUAAUACUGGUCAAUUUGAUGGAAAAAGUUGAACUAAACCUCUGAGUCCAACUAGCGCACUGCAUUGACAACAAUGGACACCAUCUGCUUGGCGUUAUAUUUAAAACUAAGUAAAAGUAAAUAUUAACUUGUGUAUUUUAUUAUAUAAAAAGAAUGAAAUGUAUUUCUUCAUUA